UAAUAAAACAAUAACCUGUCCUGAAUAUUGUUUAAAAUUCAACCUUUAUUUUUCACAAUAUUUUUUUUAAAAUUGAGACAUAAUUUGAAUAGAAGGUUUUUGGACAGUUUAAGACAACAUUGUUUUGGACAAAGGGGUUUCGGAUAGGACGGUUUAAACCAUUCUGUCCUAAACCUUGCCAACUCUGACUAGAUGUCAUUUAUAUAUGUUGUAUUUACUAUUAGAAUACAUAAAAUAGUGGGGUUUUUUUUUUCUUUCCAGUUCAGUAUACAAGAUUUUCCAUAAAGUUCCUUCUUAAUAUAAGCAGUAAAUAAGAUGGAGAAUUCGGUAUAUUUUUAAUGCAGUCAUGAUUAGCAGCAUUUGUCCAAUUAACUCUCAAGACUCUAGUAUCAGCCAAGAUUGUGUUUUACUUUGGAAGAAUAAAAUUGUCCCUCAAGUGUCGGGACGGAAAUAAGUUUAGAGCUGCUUUUGAGACUUCGGCCCAUGGACUACCCUUGCCUUCUCCCUUCCAGAGUCAACACCGAUGGAAAUCCCGUCAACUGAAGCAGGGCUUGUCAGAAAGGCCUAGGGCCCACACAUGUCUGGGAGACUCCGAAAUAUUAAACAUUUUAUGCGUGUUUUUUCCUAAAGAAUUGUCUAUUAAUUUGAGCUAACAAAAAUUGAAAUUAAAAAAAAGCACAAAUUUA